rnacentral:rRNA from 1 species
AGUGAACGCUGGCGGUAGGCCUAACACAUGCAAGUCGAACGGCAGCACAGUAAGAGCUUGCUCUUACGGGUGGCGAGUGGCGGACGGGUGAGGAAUACAUCGGAAUCUACUUUUUCGUGGGGGAUAACGUAGGGAAACUCACGCUAAUACCGCAUACGACCUACGGGUGAAAGCAGGGGAUCUUCGGACCUUGCGCGAUUGAAUGAGCCGAUGUCGGAUUAGCUAGUUGGCGGGGUAAAGGCCCACAAAGGCGACGAUCCGUAGCUGGUCUGAGAGGAUGAUCAGCCACACUGGAACUGAGACACGGUCCAGACUCCUACGGGAGGCAGCAGUGGGGAAUAUUGGACAAUGGGCGCAAGCCUGAUCCAGCCAUACCGCGUGGGUGAAGAAGGCCUUCGGGUUGUAAAGCCCUUUUGUUGGGAAAGAAAAGCAGCAGGUUAAUACCCCGCUGUUCUGACGGUACCCAAAGAAUAAGCACCGGCUAACUUCGUG